AAUGUCAAGUCCAAACUUGUCCUGAUGCAGCUUUACAACAUUCCCACAUGUCCUGUCCCUAGAUCCCAGGGAGGAGAGCUCAGAACCUCAGUCUACACUUCCUCUCCUUAGGAAGCUGUAGGGAGCAGUGAGGUUGCCCCUCAAACUCCUUCUCUCAAAACUAGACAAACACAGAGUCCUCAGCCACUCCUCACAGGAUAUGCCUCUCAGUCCCCUCUCCAGCUUUGGUGCCCUCCAUUGUACACAUUUAGGACCUUCACGUCUGUCUUAAAUCGUGGUGCUCAGAACUGCACACAGUGCUCAAGCUCAGAAAUCCAGGUAUUGGGAUGAAGUUCAGAAGCUGAAGCCUACUAGCCAGUUGACUGUUCAUACAAGAUACUCUUCAAAUGUUCAUAGCUAUAGUCAGAGGACAGCCAGAUAAGAGGUGGGCUCUCCCUUCUGAGCCAGACUGAAAGCUUCCACAUCUUCCUGCAGAAGUUUCACAUGGGGAGGUUUUGGAGAGCUCUUAGUGGUGCAACUCACUGCAAUGCUAUUUUGAGGUGAGCAAUGCUGAGAGGGAUGCAUGCACAAGUUUUGUGUAGCUCACGGGACAGUGGCACACCACAGAGGCUUGUGAAGCAGGAUAAUAGGGACUAACUACAGUACCACUUGUUACCACUGCUAGAGAAUCCUCUGCUUUCCAUUCUGGAGAUUCCCAUAAUUAAAAUACUUUAAUUUUACAAGGCAUUUGCAGAAUGUUCAUAAUUCUGUUGACAUUUUGUCCAAAUUAUUACAUAUUCCUUGAAGGACCCAGGAUGAAGUUGCUGAAUUUUGUUUUGUAAUUAAGGUUUGAAUUUCGAAAAUGGGGCAGGGGACAAAACUGCACACUUUCUGUUAUGUUUCUUAGGCAGUUUUAACACCUUAGAGAAUUGAUGUAGCUCUUUGAACUUUGGCACAUACAUUAUCCCCAAUCACAGCCAUGGCUUUGGGUUUUCUGCGUAGUUAGUUAUCAAGAGAGAUAUUAAAUGUGAAAUAUAAGAGCACAGCAGUACCCAGUACUAUUUAUCCAAUAGUUUCAUCU